AUUACAUUGUUUAUUUUUGCUUAACAUUAUAAACGAACAUCUUACUAUUAAUAAUGAAUCAGGUUUGCUUUAUAUAAAUAAUGACAUGAUAUUGAAUAAAAAAGAAAGAGUAGAACAAAUGAAUGAUAGCAAAAUAAAACUAAGUUUAAAUGAAAACAUAAAAAAUGGAGGAGUGUUUAGAAUAGAUGGAGAAAGGGGUACAUAUAAAGAAGGUACAAUAUAUAAUAGUAGAAGUAGUAGUAAAAGUAAGAGUAAGGGGGUAGGUAGAAACAGGGUAAGGGGUAGAACAAAAAGAGGUAAACAUGGUGGUAUUAGUAGCAAUAGCUAUAACGAUAAUAAUAAUAUUAGUAGUAGUAGUAGUAAUAAUAAUAAUAAUAAUAGUAUUAGUAGUAAUAGUAGUAGUAGUAGUAGUAGUAGUAAUAAUAGUAGUAAUAUAAGUAAUAGUAAUAAUAGUAAUAAAUUAUAUUUUAAUAAUCGUAGUAAAAAGAAAGGUACACAUAAAAAGACUAAAUCUGGAGCUUAUGAAUUUAAUACCGUGUAUCGUACUAGCAGCAACAGCAUCGGUUAUGAUUGUAUUAAUAAUAGUAACAACCGUGUUGAUAGUAAUCAUACUAAUGUUAUAUCAAAACAAAAAUAUUUAUAUUCAUCAAAUUUUAAAAAUAAUUAUGCACAUAUUCAUAAUUUUGGUACAAGUAUUAGUAAUACGAAUUUAAAUAAUAAUAAAAUGAACAUGAACAGUUCAGGUUUAUAUGGGUAUAAAAAAAACGACACUACAAAUAACAUAUAUGUUAAUAAUAAUAAUAAUAAUAAUAAUAGUAGUAGUAGUAGUAGUAGUGCUAAAGUGAACACAGUAACACGGAUAACAAAUAAAGGUCUUUAUCCUAACGUUAACACAAGUAUACCACAUGGACCUUCGAAUAUAAAUAAAGUAUCUACUGAAGAAGGUGUAGGUAGUAUACAAAAUGUAAAUAAUAUGUUUAAUUCUAAAAAUUUAAUAAGUCAAGAGGGCAAUAAUAGUACUACAUGUGAUUAUAAAAAUAAUUAUUUUUCGGAG
rnacentral:lncRNA from 1 species